GCUGGAGUUCCCAGGAUCAGAUUCUUCGCUGGUUUCCUCACCAUCAUCAUCUUCUUCUCCAUAUUCCAUUAAUUUUACCAAAGUAUCUGAAACAACUGCUACAGUAUCAGAUUUGCUUUUAUGGGAAACAGUGCUCUUUGUCUGCAAUCUAUCUGCAGUAUUUGAUGAGCUAAAUUUUGGAGGUGGCGGUGGUGGGGGCAUGGUUCUUGGAGGUGGCAGUGGCAUUCCAUUUGAUAAUGGUGGCAGAGACAUAGUUCGUGGAGGGGGAGGGGGCGGGGGCAUGUUUUGGGGAGCAGGUGGUGGCAUUCCAUUCAAUGAUGGCUGGACCAAUUUCUUCGAAGCAGGCAUGGUUGAUGUAUUUCUCACACCAUCUGCCAGUGCUUGCUCACCAGGCUUUAACAACUUUGAACCCUGCAACGAGUUAGGAGAAAAGUGCAAGCCUAGAUUUUCAAUAUCAGUUAGAUAUUGGAUGGAAAGAAAAAAGUAAUAAUCUCAAAUCAAAUUCAACACGACAUAAACGCCAUUAUUCCUUUAAAACCAA
rnacentral:misc_RNA from 1 species